UGCAUGUGCAUAUGAUUGCCUGCCCACAUUUAGAAACUGGCCACUAAGAGAAAUGUUGACUAGAUAUUCAUUACCAUUCUGAAGCUCUCUGCACUGUAUACAUGACAAGAAAAUGCAAUUAUAAAGAGGGUUACUUUGUUCUUUCAGCUUUCUGGUUUUGAUGGAGUAAGAACAUAAGAAUGCUGAUUCAAAAUACACCCUCUGAGGCCAAACUUGACCUCUCCUCAAACACUUCUGCUAGGCUCAAAGAGACUGAUCCACAGGGAUCAAUGUCAAAGGAAGGUGCUCAGGGUCCAGGGUCUGGGAUGCUGAAUAUGGCAGUUUUUCAAGGUGAAAUAGCAACACAGAGGAAGAUGUUUUUAAAGUAGAAGUACUUGCCUGAUUCUCCUGUCACUGCUCAAUGACAUGCAUUUAUGUAUACUAUUUAAAGCUGUGUUAAAUGCAAAAAUAUGUGUAGUCUGUGACACCCAGCUCAACAGAUAUUAAAAGAUCCCGGUCUGUGGUAGUCAUUUAACUUGUUCUUU